AUGACCUCAAUCNGAUGAGACUACCCGCUGAACUUAAGCAUAUC
rnacentral:rRNA from 1 species